UAAUGAGGAAUGGGGAAACGAUGAUUCUGAUUGGACAUUUCAAAAAAUACAACAGCCACUUAUUUUGUACUUUUCUCUGAAUGCAUAUUUAAAGACACCAAUAAAAUUUCGACUUCUCCACCAAUCAUUAGCCCUUUUACUACAAUCAGGAAAUACAUUUUAUCAGAAUUCUCUCCAGUCCCAGUUUGUGAAGAUACACCGGGAAUUGUCGUCUGGUUGUCGGUGCGAGGGGCUCUUCUCCACAGAGCGACUGAGCGGAGAUGCGGGAUUCCUCCUGGAACUCUUGUAACGGAAAUCAUUGACGGGACCAGAAUAAAUGUGAUGUUUCCUC